rnacentral:misc_RNA from 1 species
GAUGAAGAACGUAGCGAAAUGCGAUAAGUAAUGUGAAUUGCAGAAUUCAGUGAAUCAUCGAAUCUUUGAACGCACAUUGCGCCCGCCAGUAUUCUGGCGGGCAUGCCUGUUCGAGCGUCAUUUCAACCCUCAGGCCCCCAGUGCCUGGUGUUGGGGAUCGGCCCAGCCUUCCUGUAAGGCCGCCGGCCCCGAAAUCUAGUGGCGGUCUCGCUGUAGUCCUCCUCUGCGUAGUAGCACAACCUCGCAGUUGGAACGCGGCGGUGGCCAUGCCGUUAAACACCCCACUUCUGAAAGUUGACCUCGGAUCAGGUAGGAAUACCCGCUGAACUUAAGCAUAUCAAUAAGCGGUGGA